rnacentral:rRNA from 1 species
UGUAGCUGGCCCUCCCCUGGGUAAUGUGCUCACGGCGUCAUCUUUAUCUCUCCACCUGUGCACCUUUUGUAGACUUGGAAACUUUUUAGUAAGUAAAGGCUUUUAAUUGAGCUUUUGAACACACAUAGUUUCCAAGGCUAUGUUUUUUCAUAUACCCUAAUGUAUGUAACAGAAUGUAUCAUUGGGCUUUUAUGCCUAUAAACUAUAUACAACUUUCAGCAACGGAUCUCUUGGCUCUCGCAUCGAUGAAGAACGCAGCGAAAUGCGAUAAGUAAUGUGAAUUGCAGAAUUCAGUGAAUCAUCGAAUCUUUGAACGCACCUUGCGCUCCUUGGUAUUCCGAGGAGCAUGCCUGUUUGAGUGUCAUUAAAUUAUCAACCAUAAACAUUUUUUUGUAUUAUGGCUUGGAUAUGGGGGAUUUGCAGGCUCUUUCACUAGAGUCGGCUCCUCUGAAAUGUAUUAGCCAGUGCCCCGCAGUGGACUGUCUAUUGAUGUGAUAAUUAUCUACGUCAUUAGAUGUCUGCAACUUUAAAAUGGGUUUUGCGCUGCUUCUAACCGUCCCUUUUAUAAGGACAAUUUUUGACCAUUGACCUCAA